rnacentral:lncRNA from 1 species
GAGCCAGGCAAGCUUGAGAUGCUAGGAAUUCAGCUGUGGAAGUUCAGCUCUCAAGAAGCUCACAUCUAGGGUGCGGAGUUAGAGAAAUCAGACCGGCACAUGAUACAGAAGGGACUAGAUCAAGUAGCGUGGAGACCACUGAGACCCAGCCACUGGAGACCAUUAGCCUAGGGAGGUCAUUGGUGUCCUUGCCAAGCCCUGUUUUGGUUCUGGGUCCAGGAGACAGAGUGUAGUCAGAGGAGAGGAAUCACAGACAGCCCAGUGCAGACAACAGGCAACUCUUUCAAGGAGUCAUCUUAUAAAGCAACUAGAACAGUACCUGGCAGACACAAGACACGUAAUACAUAUUUUUGAAUGAGGAACUUGGCUCCAGAAGCCAUGAGAAUAACUUUGUUCCAACACAUUCAGGCUGCGGUCAGAAAGGGUGAGCUGGAAGCAGUGAGCUGGGAGAUAAUGAAACCAAAACACCAUUAUCAGGAAGCUUGAGAACAAGGCCACCUUUUAAGUAUCUAGAAAUUCCCAUUAAUUUCUUCCACACCUUGUUCCCCAUCCCACCUGAAGACUGAAGCUGAGAGGCUUUUUUCCCAGUCAUCUUGACCACAAGAUCAGUUCUCUCCGUGAACAUAAAGACAAAAUCGCUGUGACACCAACAGACAGAUUUUUUAACAAGUGGAAUCCAUGUCUCAUGUAAACAAUGUGCUACUGCCUGCCAUUGAGUUCUCUUCCCUCGUUUUCCUUUUUGAAGACUUAACCCCUUUCCCAAAGGGACAUGUGCUCAGGUUUCUUGACUCCACAGCAAUCCCUUCUGUUGUGUAAGGCAAACUGAUCACCUUUCACAACGAGACAAGAAGUGAUUUAAAUCAGAUGGUGACCCAAUGACAAUGUCUGUGCUGUGUCCUAUGGAGAAAACCAAAGCUGAAAUCCAGUAACAGGUGAUAGGAAGAUGUGGAGAUAGAAACUGACCUGAAUUCUGAAAAACAACAAGAGAAAAGGAAGUCUGAGAACAAGCUGGUGUUCUUCCAAAACCUGUUCAUUGUGUGAAUUCCUAGAAGAUAGCGUGACACCGAGAAACAGGCUGGAGUGACACACCCAAACAAUUAUGCUACCUGGAUCUGCCAAGGCAGGAGGACAAACUCAGCAGCCUGGAGAAUGGAGGACACAGUCCAGAGUUGGUGAGCCAAGUUUUCUUCUGUUUGUUUUGCUGUUGCUGUUUUUGUUCUUGUUGACCUAUUGAGUUCUAUGAUGAGACCAAACGUUUAAUAAUUGUCUUCUAUUCUAAAACUUGUCUCUCAGCAACAACAGCAGCAAUUACUUUUGACCACUCACUAUCGGAAAACACUGCUUUAGGCUGUGGAAAUGCAGUAGUAGAAAAGCCAGGCAUAAUCCUUAUCCCCAUGGAGGCACUAUCUCCAUCCAAGGGCAGAGGACCUGCAAGCCCUGAGGUCUCCAGCUGAGGUUCCUCUCUGAAGGACAGUUGCACUUCAGGUCAUGCUGCAGUAUGAGAGAAGGCAGCGUGACAUCUUGAGUUUCUAAUGCUCACACCUGUCUCAGUGAAGCAUUUUUACAGAGUAAUCACCACCCCCCUCACACCCCCAACAAUGUCAUCAAGUCAUAAAUCUCCUUGGUUUGAAAUAUUGGAUUAAAAUAUGAUUAAACAAUAUGUCUCAAUGGAAAGUUAAGAUAUGUGUGCAUUCUCUAUCCUCAAACAAUCCUGGAAUGCCCCCCCCCCCACUUUAUGAUUUUUUAUGAUUUGCCUAUCAGAAAUCUAUGCUAAAACUCUUAAAGAGUUUAGUUCUUAGAUUUGUAAGAGUAAGAGCAUGUAAGAAAUUAUUCUUUGACAGUUCUCAUUGCUAGCAACAAAGUUUUUAGGUUCCAAAGAGGUAUUUACUUAGAAACUAAAUAGUGUGAACCAUUAGCGCAGAAGAUGGUGCAGUAGAACAAAUGGGGAUGAGGUAUGAGGAGAGCCAAAUGCUAAUCCUGGUGUGUCACUGAUGUGACUUGGACACUGCCACCCCUCUGGACCUCUGCUUCCUCUUAGGGAAGAAGUGCUCUGUGGGGGUUCUCUGAGGUUACUCCUACAGUUCAUGUUCUAUGAGCCUGGAAAGAGCAAAAAUGUCUCAUAUAUACUACGUAAUGUUGUCUAAGUGGUACAUAGCAGAUUUUUUUUUUUUUUUCUGAGACAGAGUCUUGCUCUGUUGCUCAGGCUGGAGUGCAGUGGUGCAAUCUCAGCUCACUGCAACCUCUGCCUCCCGGGUUCAAGCAAUUCUCCUGCCUCAGCUUCCCAAGUAGCUGGGAUUACAGGUGUGCACCACCACACCCAGAUAAGUUUUGUAUUUUUAGGAGAGACGGGGUUUUGCCCUGUUGGCCAGGCUGCUUUUGAACUCCUGGCCUCUAGUGAUCUGCCAGCCUUGGCCUUCCAAAGUGCUGGGAUUAUAGGUGUGAGCCACUGCACCCGGCCUAAGUGGCACAUCUUUACCAGACAAUCCAUUAAAUUUGAAAAAUUCCAUAAUAAAUAAGUGACAUUUGUCAAAAGCAUAUAAUGUGUCAAGCACUAGGUUAUCAGCCUUUCCACACAAACUCUUUCCUUUAAAUUUCAUGGCAACCCAAUGAUAAAAGUGGCAUUAUAGUCCCUCUUUUUUUUUUUCUUAAGUACAUGUGGAAACUGAGGUGUAGUAAAUUGUUAUGACUCACUAAAAGUGACAAAGCUGGAAACUGACAGAAAUAAGCCCAGGGGUUGGACUGCAGCUGCAGAGUCCCACAUAAGGGAAGCUCUUUCAGGAGCAGUUUGCCUGAUUCUCUGAAUGGUGUCCUCCAGCCCCUGGAGGAAGGAACUGAGAUCAUAUCUCUCUCCUUCGCCAGCUUUCACAUACAGAAGCAGCUUCAUGGACCCAUCCAACAGGAAGGGAUUUCUUACAGGCAAGCCAAGAAGUUAUCUUGCAGCUGACUUUCAGUUAUGCAUAACUACCACCCAUCUGGGACCCGAUGAUAGGGCAAAGGAGCUCGGAUGUCACCCAAUAAUGGCCCAGUGACUCAUCUAAUUGCCUGCUUGUCAAUGCCAUGGUACUACAACAUUCUGGUGGCCUGACUUAGUUGACUAUUCAUAUCUCAAAGGACAUGCCUCUGAGAUGCAAUGUGAGGUAUUUUGAAAGAUUAGAUAUUGCUGGAUUGAGUCACAUGUGGGAAAGAGAGAAGAGGGCUCAUUGGAUUCCUCUCCGGUAGCAAAUGAUUUGGUGAGAGUGAAGCCCUGAGAAGAGAUUGUCUGGGAGGAUUGACCAAAAGCCUCAAAACAAAGGAAUGACUUUCACAGAUUGACUAAGGAUACAAUCAUUAAAAUCAUUCAUUCAGUCACCAUUUUCUGAGCUCACUGUUAGGCAGGCAAAGAUACAUAAGAGAAGUUGCUUACUUUUAUGAUCAAGUUGGAGACAGCAGUUAUCAGAACACUCUCAGUAUUUCUGGGAAAUUCUGCAAGUUAUGUCACAUGGAGUACCUCUUUCUUUGAGCUUAAAUCACCCUAUCUCCCACUCUGGUUACAUAACCACUCGGAACUGCAGUUUCAUCUUCUUAAAUUGGGAAUAAUCAGUUCUAACUCAUUUUUAAGGGAGAUUCUUAAUGUGAAAGUAAUUUUCAGAUGAUUUAAGGUGAAGGGAUAUAAAUACAUUGGGAAUAUUUUGGAAAUCCAUGAAGAGAUUUACUUCCUUCUUUCGUAUUCUGAGAUCUUACUUUGCAGUCUUACAGGCAUGCACGUGCUUUUUUUUUUUUUUAAUUAUCCCCUGCUUUUGUUCUUAAAAUGAGAUGUACUCCAUUUUUAUAGAUUUCUCAAGGUUGCAAAGCUCCAGAAUUCCUAGGUCAGCUGUGACUAUUGGAUAAUAUCAAACCAAAGCAUUGAGGGUUCCUUUAAAAACCAAAAAGGCUGUUUCAGGGCUAAGACAAUGAGGAUUUCUGAUAUCUUUAUAGGUGCAAGAAGCAGGCAAGGGAGCCUUGGAAUUAUUGACAAGAGCCUUUGUAAACACCUUCCAACCAGUUUUCCUCACAGUUGCCACAAAAGGAACAGGCUUGUGAGAGGGCCACAAAGGAGAUUAGGGUUCCUGACAAGCUCUGAAUGGCCUUCCCUGUAUUACCAAGGGCUGACUUUGUUCCUGGUGGUGCCAACAGUGGGCAUGAAGCCAGCCCUUCUGUUUAUGAGCAGCUCAAGGUCAGGUGGGCUUGGGCUAUCUGACUUUUCAUUAGGUCAGUAAAUAUGUAUAUGAGGAAAGUGGCUGUGGGUCAACUGAACUGCUUGCUCCAGAGCUAUUGACCUCUUGCCCAGCCUCCCAGCUUCCUGAAUCCGUGAGAACAUUCAGUGAAUCAAUGAGGACAUCCACAACCUCAUUGAGUUCUCCUUUGCCCUUCCCGUUCCCUGCCUCAGUCACAAGACCCUCUCCACAUCUCUCACCCUGUCUUGCCUUGACGACCUGUCCAGGCCCAUCAUCCACCUGACCUAUAAACUUCAAACACUUUCUGGUGUUUCCUGCUUCCAAAUAUUCCUCAAAAUUGAGGAUCCUGAGUUGAAUAUCUGGAGUUCUCCUUUCUGAUUUCUAUAAUGGUCAACAUGCUCUAAGGCAGAUUUUCCAAGCAUUUCUGGACUUGCCAGAGACUUCCUCCCUUGGCAGGUCUGAAUCAGAAAAUUCACACGCUGGCUGGGCACGGUGGCUCAUGCCUUUAAUCCCAGCAGUUUGGGAGGUCAAGGCGGGC